rnacentral:rRNA from 1 species
AUUGAACGCUGGCGGCAGGCCUAACACAUGCAAGUCGAGCGAGCGGCGGACGGGUGAGUAAUGUCUGGGAAACUGCCUGAUGGAGGGGGAUAACUACUGGAAACGGUAGCUAAUACCGCAUAUUAUUCGAGCGGCCGAUGUCUGAUUAGCUAGUAGGUGGGGUAACGGCUCACCUAGGCGACGAUCCCUAGCUGGUCUGAGAGGAUGACCAGCCACACUGGAACUGUGACACGGUCCAGACUCCUACGGGAGGCAGCAGUGGGGAAUAUUGCACAAUGGGCGCAAGCCUGAUGCAGCCAUGCCGCGUGUGUGAAGAAGGCCUUCGGGUUGUAAAGCACUUUCAGCGGGGAGGCGUUACCCGCAGAAGAAGCACCGGCUAACUCCGUGCCAGCAGCCGCGGUAAUUC